ACUGAACGCUGGCGGAAUGCUUUACACAUGCAAGUCGAACGGUAGAGGGGGCAACCCCUCGAGAGUGGCGAACGGGUGAGUAAUAUAUCGGAACGUGCCCAGUCGUGGGGGAUAACGUAGCGAAAGUUACGCUAAUACCGCAUACGAUCUAAGGAUGAAAGCGGGGGAUCGCAAGACCUCGCGCGAUUGGAGCGGCCGAUAUCAGAUUAGGUAGUUGGUGGGGUAAAGGCUCACCAAGCCAACGAUCUGUAGCUGGUCUGAGAGGACGACCAGCCACACUGGAACUGAGACACGGUCCAGACUCCUACGGGAGGCAGCAGUGGGGAACUUUGGACAAUGGACGCAAGUCUGAUCCAGCCAUUCCGCGUGCAGGAUGAAGGCCCUCGGGUUGUAAACUGCUUUUGUACGGAACGAAAAAGUCUCUCUUAAUACGGGGGACUCAUGACGGUACCGUAAGAAUAAGCACCGGCUAACUACGUGCCAGCCGCCGCGGUAA
rnacentral:rRNA from 1 species